UACGAAGGACCCAAGCGUUAUCCGGAUUUAUUGGGUUUAAAGGGUGCGUAGGCGGGUUGUUAAGUCAGUGGUGAAAUCUUACAGCUUAACUGUAAAAUUGCCAUUGAUACUGACGAUCUUGAGUAUGGUUGAGGUGGGCGGAAUGUGUCAUGUAGCGGUGAAAUGCUUAGAUAUGACACAGAACACCGAUUGCGAAGGCAGCUCACUAAGCCAUUACUGACGCUGAUGCACGAAAGCGUGGGGAGCAAACAGG
rnacentral:rRNA from 1 species